GCAAUGGCCAAGAGGAAACAUAAAAUAUUCAUACAGCCACUACUUAGGAGCUUCAGCUAACAUACUUACAGAGGCAGAAAUGGAAGUUCAGAUAGAUCAAAGGAUAAUUGAUUUACACUGCAGGGAAGUUGCAGACCUGGGACUUGAAUCCAAAUCUUGUGACUGUAUCUCAAGCCUUUAUUCACUCUACAAGAUUGCCUCUAACCUGGAGUUAUCAUCUGAUUUUAAAAUAUAGCUACAAACAUAUAUACAAUAUCUCCCACAAAUUUCAGGUCAUAAGUUUGACAAAUCCAAUUAAUUUUAAAUGUAUAGAGUUAGAAAAGACUAAUUUCCUGAAAGAUCACUUUGCUUAUUUAUUACAUAGUGAAAGUAUCACAGAUGUGCUAGGGUGCUGUUUAAAAUAGCCAUAGCAAAGGCUUAUUAAGCUUACUGUUAACAAGACAGUCUGUUGUGGUUCCCCCAUAGCCUAUGUAUGUCUUUGUUGAAUAUGUUUAACUGCAAGACCUAAGUGUCUUCUGAUCCAGAACCAUUUACUUAAUUUUUCAUGUAGGGUCUCAAGCAGUUCGAGGUGACUAGAACAUGAAUACCUAGGUCCUGCUUGCUCCCUGCUGGAGGGGAAAAUGGCUUGUUUACUGCUUGCUACAAAUUGUGCUGAACUCCUAGUCCUGGGUUCCCCAGCUGUAAUCACCAUCUGGGCCCACUGUUUUACCUCACAGGACUUGGGGGAAUUUGUUCUACUAUUUGAUGCUCCUGAUGUUUGCUGUGAUGUGAGUAAUAAAUUGUUCUCUGAUCCAAUGUGUCUUGUCUACUCUUGGGAUGUGUGCAACUGUCACAAGUCAAUUUUUUUGCUUAGUCUUCUCUUUUGGAGUCUUGCUACUCUUUGCUCUUCUCUAUGAGAUUGAGGGCUCUUCCCUGACACUUUCCUUUAUUCCCAGCAAUUAUCUAGGCACAUGGUAUUUUGGUUCUUACUUUACAAAUAAGGAAAUUGAGAGACUUAGUACAAAGUAGAAAGUGACAGAACUGAAAUGAAAAUAUGGUGGAUGUUCUCUCUUAAUCAUUACUUUUGAAAGAACAACAACAACAACAACAACAAAAUAGCAAACCUUGAGCUAGGUUCUGACAUUUUUUGAAUAAAUUCCAAGGAUCACCACAUCUGAUAGAAUUGAGAUGCCAUUUCAUUUGUUUUGAAAGUUGCUACUGUUGAUCAAAUCUGAACUCCAUAAUUAUUGCAAUUAUUGUAUUUUCUUCUGGCAGGAUUAGAAUAUAUGAUUCAUUUGUGCGGUAUGCUAGCAGCAAUACUGGUCUUCCUUCAGUGGAGAGGAAAGACUGUGAAGCUAGAAUAGAAAGUAUGGAAAGCACAGUCAAGUUUGUAGCUUUUAGAGGAUAAGGUUGAAGGAUCUUAUCCUAUCUAGAGGAUAAGAUUGAGAAGACUAAUGCCACAAGGAGUUCCUGGAGAUUCCAUUCAGCUCUAAUCCUAGAGCUGGAACCCAGGUAUUGGACUAUCUGAUUGGGGAAAUAGGCUGUAGAAAGAGGUAGAAAGUUCAAAUAGAGCAGACAUGGUGAGGGUAUCAGGAAAAUAUGGGCUCAUUUCAACAACUGCAGCAUCCAGGCCCUGAGUAAUGGAGUUUGUGGAAAUCAGGAUUAUACCUAGCUACAUGAAUUUGGGGGCAUGCCUUUAAUUCCACUAGUGGCUUAGACUAAAAGCGGA
rnacentral:lncRNA from 10 species